rnacentral:rRNA from 1 species
UACGUAGGGUGCAAGCGUUGUCCGGAAUUAUUGGGCGUAAAGAGCUCGUAGGCGGUCUGUCGCGUCUGCUGUGAAAACUCAGGGCUUAACCCUGAGCUUGCAGUGGGUACGGGCAGACUAGAGUGCGGUAGGGGAGACUGGAAUUCCUGGUGUAGCGGUGGAAUGCGCAGAUAUCAGGAGGAACACCGGUGGCGAAGGCGGUUCUCUGGGCGAU